UCUGCAAUAACACAACCAACCAAAAAAGGAGGGGGGUAAAUUACUAGAAGAAAAGAAUGUCGAGUCACCCACAUUUCCGUGAUGACAUAAUCAAAAAGAAACAAGCCAAGAAAAACCGGAGAAAGGAUCAAUAGCCAAAAGAAAAAGAAAAUUGCGACUGUCUCGGCUCUUUUCUUCUGUGUGUUUCUAACCAGGUUAAUUGACAUCUCGCCGGCGUGGAAAUUGCCAUCCUCAACGGAGGAGGCUCAGAGAUGACAGCACAGCUCUCCUAAUACCAACAUGGAACAUCACAAGACAGACGAGCUGACGAAUGGAUGAAACUUAAAAAGGCCAACAGCAGCCGGGGCCCAGCAAGUCACGCAAAGUGUGUUGAUGGUUCGGUUUUCGGUGUCCCAGGUUUCAUUCUAAUUACUGGUGUUGGCGGGGGCACACUGGAUGGAUUGUCGUUUUUUACCUGCGGACAGCGCCCAUUCCGGCCGCCGAGCUGGCGCUUCGCAACACCUUGGCCUUGGGCAUGUAGCGUGAUGAAUAGCCGCCUCCGCGCGAUGGCUGAGACUCCAAGUCCGUGUCGCCAAAGUAGCGCAUCUGGCGGCGAGAUUGAGCCGCUGCUGCCGAAGUGGCCGCCGGAGGCGGCGGAGCUGAUUCCAGAGGACCUGCCGGAGCGAUGGAUGGACCUCUGGGCUGCUGCUGUGGCUGCUGGUUCUCUUCCGAUCCGCUGCGAUCCCUCAAUUCCGCUGACUCCACCCCGAUUUGAUGGAUCAAAUUGGUGCUGGCGUAUGGGCGGGCGUCGGGUCCGCGCUGCUGCUGAUGUUGGGACUUGUAGCGAUGGCCGCCAUCAUCCGGAUAGCGACGGCUCGAUUGGAAUUGAACGGAAGUAUCCGGAUGGCGACGAUUCUGAUUGUGCUGGUGCUCCUCACCCAACACGACCACCGGAUCCGGUCGGUAAUUCAAAUUGUUGAAACUCUGCGCGCCACAAAAAAAGACGAAAUAACCGAAAAAAUGAAACUUUUUCCAAGAAAGACAAAAAAAGAAAUUAGACAUCGUCGUUGUUCGUCGUGCUGCGCAGUGCAGUCACGCUUGUCUCCCCCCCCCCCCCCCCCAGUGCCCUCUACGACGUUGUUCAAAGUGGAGCUGACGGAAAAACAAAAAAACCGGCCGGAAAAGCAGACGGAAAAUAACAAGGUGAUUGGCAUCGAGCUGAUUCCCGGGCCGCGGGAAUAGCUACAGCAGAAGAAGAAAGGGGCUUUCGCGUGACACCAAAGUGCCGACCGAAGAAACAACAACCUGGCGACCCGAAAAGAGGCAAGUUAAGAAAAAUGAAAUCGAGUACAUCCAGAUGAAUGGCCAGCAGAGCAGGCCAGCGACCGAUGUUAUAACGGGCGGCUAUCUAGCUCUGCAUGCGCCCCGAGUUUAUACCAACAAGGGAGAGUGCAAGGAGGCCGGUUAUGGUCACAUCUUAGGCUAUACAGGUAUUAUUAUUACAAGUCCAACUGGACAACUUUCUCGCACGACCCAGACGAUCUGCCGGACUGGCGAAAUGGAGAGAGAAAACAAAAGCUAUAGCCGAGAAGAAGAAGAAGAAGAAGCCAACAGUCUCCGAAAUUUGUAAUUUUUCUUGACAUUUCUUCGCCAAUUUGGGAGGGAAAGUUUUUUCUCCGUGCCGCCGCCGCCGCCGGAUCGGCCAGCAUCUAAUCUAAUGAUAAGAACGUGCAAACAAUUCUCUCUCUCUUCACUUAUUUGUGCUUCUUCUGUUCUCUAACUAUGGCUAAUUCCCAUUCAUCUCGAAUUUUAGGCGUGCUGGUGUUGCAGCAGCAUCCAUCCUACCCACACAAGGGGGGAAAACAAGAGAACCAUCAAUUGAAUUGCCAUAUUCCGAGAUGAGCGCGCGCCGUGAACCUUAUUCAGCAUCGUUCCAGGUGAAAAGCAACGAGCUGUUCAGCAACGAUACACACGUUCCGCCACGGGUUUUUAUAUAAUAUCAACUGCCAAUCCUUCGUUUCGCAAAUGAACCACGUUCCACCAAGUUAUAAACGGGCCGCGCCCUAUCCGACGUCAUCGCGGCAAUUCCUUCUUCCUGGUAUAAUCAACGAGAUGUCGUGAACUUGAAAGAAAUGUUGGAAAAACAGAAAAAAAUUAAGGUUGUACCCUCCCAGGGAGUUAUCCGAUGGAUUAUUAUCAUAUCCGCAAACAACGAGUCCAUUAAAAUGCAUCCGAAUGAGCCGCCGACGACGGUUUGGAUACUAUAUACACUCCUCCCGGUAUAAGUGCCAAAUGCCCUUGCGUUCAUCGGAAAUAAAAGCAUUUCAACAAUGUUUAUGGCAGUCGUCUUUUGCGCGAUUCCCACGCUAUGACCAUAUAUCUCUCCUUUUACGAGUUAUGAAAGCAAAUAUAUAAGUUAUUACAAAGGAA
rnacentral:lncRNA from 1 species